CAAUUUCAAUAAUGUCUUAAAUUUACUUAAUGAAGUGGUAUGAAUAAGUCCCUACUAUGUUUUUCCAUUGUUUAUCUCAAGACAGUUGAUUCAUGCCUGUUUUACCAUCCUAUUAGGACGAUAAAAGAGUCAUUUAUGACUUGAUUGGCAAGAAAGUCUGUAUGGGCGACCAUAAGCCUGUUUUUCUUGAUUUAAGAUUAGACACGUCAAAGUCUGCCCCAGACGCGUUUCAAGGGGAGGACUAGGCCCCUAUUUAAAGCCUGUGUAGGAAUAACGCAGAAUGGAGUAAGUGAUGAAUAUAUCGAAUACAUCACAUGUGUUUAAAAACGAAAAGAUUAUAAUCACCAAUGAUGGCCGUGUCAAGUGUCUAUUAUACAGGAAUCCCAAAUAAACACAGGAAACCCAAAAAACUAAGCUGCACUAAUAAAUCGACUUACGACGCUACCAUAUACCGAUACGUAGUCAUUUUAGAGGCACAGGGAGCCAAGGAACUAUGAUUAUUUUGCUUUAUCAGUCACAAAGUGGCUGCGGUGAUCGGCAUCCAAGUGAUCGGGCAAUCGUUACAUUAAUAAUUAUAAUAAUAAUAUUCUAUAUAUAUAUAUUUAAUAAAAUGUAAAAUUAUUAUGAUUUCUGAAGAUAAUGAUUAAAGUUGCGGGUUUAACGAAC